GGACCCGCACAAGCGGUGGAGCAUGUGGUUUAAUUCGAUGCAACGCGAAAAAACCUUACCUACACUUGACAUACUUCGAAUUUUCUAGAGAUAGAUUAGUGCCUUCGGGAGCGAAGAUACAGGUGCUGCAUGGCUGUCGUCAGCUCGUGUCGUGAGAUGUUGGGUUAAGUCCUAUAACGAGCGCAACCCUUACCCUUAUUUGCCAGCGGUUAGGCCGGGAACUAUAAGGGAACUGCCGGUAAUAAGCCGGAGGAAGGUGGGGACGACGUCAAGUCAUCAUGGCCCUUACGUGUAGGGCUACACACGUGCUACAAUGGGAGAUACAGACGGUUGCAAACCAGCGAUGGGGAGCUAA
rnacentral:rRNA from 1 species